rnacentral:rRNA from 1 species
AUUGAACGCUGGCGGCAGGCUUAACACAUGCAAGUCGAACGAGUGGCGGACGGGUGAGUAAUGCCUGGGAAUCUACCUGAUGGAGGGGGAUAACUACGGGAAACGGUAGCUAAUACCGCAUACCAUCAGAUGUGCCCAGGUGGGAUUAGGUAGUUGGUGGGGUAACGGCUCACCAAGCCGACGAUCCCUAGCUGGUCUGAGAGGAUGACCAGCCACACUGGAACGGAGACACGGCCCAGACUCCUACGGGAGGCAGCAGUGGGGAAUAUUGCGCAAUGGGGGCAACCCUGACGCAGCCAUGCCGCGUGAAUGAAGAAGGCCUUCGGGUUGUAAAGUUCUUUCGGUGGCGAGGCGUUAACUGCAGAAGAAGCACCGGCUAACUCCGUGCCAGCAGCCGCGGUAAUAC